rnacentral:lncRNA from 12 species
GUGGGGGGAGGUGGUCCAGGCUCCCCCGCCGCGGGAACCCGCGAGGCCGGCAUCCUGGCCUCCUGCAGAGGCGCCUUUGCGCCCUCCCGCAGGCCUGCCGGCCCCUCCGCACCCAGGCACCCAGGCACCCAGGCACCCAGGCACCCCGGCCCUGGCCCGGGCUAGCGAGCCCUCGCCGCCCCCUCCUCCUCCCCGGGAGCAGCCGGCCGAGCGCCGGUGGAGGAAGCGAGGAGACCCAGGAGGAGGAUGCCGCCGCCGCCGCCGCCGCCGCCGCAGGGCCCCGGGCUCCUGCAGGGCGCGAGGCCUCCCUCACCAGGGAAACCCGCCCAGGCCAGGAGGAGCAGCGAGAGAUGGGGAGAGUCAUAGAGAGAGGAGAUGCGCUCACAGAUUACCCCCUCCUGCUCUGCUCCCGACCGCUAGGUUGGGCCCUGCAGCUUGGGGGAUCCUGGCCCUCACUCUGCCGCUACCCUCUUCUCCUCCGGAGGAGGGCUUUAUCCCGGAGCUAUUGUGUUUGUACCUCUCUGGAUUAGCCGGGACCCUGGGGUGUGUUUGUUCCCGGACCUUCGACAGCGCGCUUCAAGGGAAAGGAGAGCUCACAACACCGAGAGGAGCGAGGGAAGAUCAUUUCCUCCAGAUCGGCAGACAAGAGGCGAGCUUCCAAAAGCACCAAGUGUUCUCUGUUCCUCCCCACCCGCUGGACACCCCCCCACCGGGGAAAGUGUGCGAGCGCCCGGGGCCCAGAGCGGGCAAGAGGCCUCCCCGCGUGCCUGCGCCCCGCCGGCCCUCACCCCGCCGGCCCUCGCUCCCCGGCCGGGCCCACCGUGCCGCCCCGGCUCACGCUCGCUUCUCCGCCGUCUGCCACCUCGUGGACCUCAAGCAAUUUGUUACAUAAAACAAAACAGCCACCACACACAUGUGCCUGCAGCCCCGCAGCAACGGACACCCAGGGAGGCCUCGUCCCCUUCUCCUCCUCCCGCCACCACCGCCAGGCCAGUCUGCCCAGCGACCAGGAGCGAAGCGGGGUUGGCACUUGCAACCCCUUCCCCUUCCCCGAUCGCCUCGCCGCGCUGGUUAAAAAAACCUCCCUCCGGUUACCCCCACCAUGAAGGAAGGGGUGAUCGGAAAUACUCGGUUCAUGCACAAAGACGUACCACAAAACGAAUGCACAUUUCUGUGUGAAAAGGCUCAGAGGCGGAGGAGACAACGUCUUAGUGGAGCCCAGAAGUGAUGGGAAUGAGCGGGCGCUAGAGAACACUGGGCUUUGGGGCUCUGGCCCCACACACCUCACCAGGACUCCUAAUUCCCCGCCACCUCCGGCGGGUCCCCGGACACAAAUCGCCUUAAAUUCCAAAAGAGGGGUUCUCAGCCACCCGCCUCCCACAUACCUGCCCCUUCCUGAGGCUCUCUCUCUGUGUGGCCCUGAGCUGCUGGGCGGCCCAACAGGAAGCUCCACCAAUGAGUGCCCAGGGGCGCCCACUCCCAUCCACUCACUGCACCCCCGACUUACCCCCACCUCAUAUAUCAGCUGCGAAAAGGCAGGGUGGAAAGAGCAAUAAAAGGCAAAUGCAGCUUCCCCUGUCUCUGGGC